GGCUGGUCCGAGUGCAGUGGUGUUUACAACUCAUUGAUCACAACCAGUUACAAAUUUCUUUGUUCCUUCUCCACUCCCACUGCUUCAUUUGACUAGUCUCAA
ensembl:Y_RNA Y_RNA Y RNA